AACGCACAUUGCGCCCUUUGGUAUUCCAAAGGGCAUACCUGUUUGAGCGUCAUUUCUUUCUCAUUUUAAAUGGUUUUGUGUGUUUUUUUUUGUUGUAGUAAUACAACAAUCACACUAAAUAUAAUGGCAUGAUUGUUAUUUUGUGAUAGCGUUUUAGGUUUACCAACUACGUUUCUCCAAAGCAACAAAGGUCAGGCCUAUAUAACAACCUUCAAAAAUUUGACCUCAAAUCAGGCAAGAAUACCCGCUGAACUUAA
rnacentral:misc_RNA from 1 species